UACGGAAGGCAGCAGUGGGGAAUAUUGCACAAUGGGCGAAAGCCUGAUGCAGCUAUGCCGCGUGUAUGAAGAAGGCCUUAGGGUUGUAAAGUACUUUCAUCGGGGAGGAAAAACAAAACUAAUAAUUUUAUUUCUUGACGUUACCCGAAAAAGAAGCACCGGCUAACUCCGUGCCAGCAGCCGCGGUAAUACGGAGGGUGCUAGCGUUAAUCAGAAUUACUGGGCGUAAAGAGCACGUAGGUGGUUUUUUUUAAGUCAGAUGUGAAAUCCCUGGGCUUUAACCUAGGAACUGCAUUUUGAAACUGAAAUACUAGAGUAUCGUAGAGGGAGGUAGAAUUCUAGGUGUAGCGGUGAAAUGCGUAGAUAUCUGGAGGAAUACCUGUGGCGAAAGCGGCCUCCUAAACGAAUACUGACACUGAGGUGCGAAAGCGUGGGGAGCAAACAGGGAUUAGAUACC
rnacentral:rRNA from 1 species